rnacentral:rRNA from 1 species
GACGAACGCUGGCGGCGUGCUUAACACAUGCAAGUCGAACGGAAAGGCCCUGCUUUUGUGGGGUUCUCGAGUGGCGAACGUGUGAGUAACACGUGAGUAACCUGCCCUUGACUUUGGGAUAACUUCAGGAAACUGGGGCUAAUACCGGAUAGGAGCUCCUGCUGCAUGGUGGGGGUUGGAAAGUUUCGGCGGUUGGGGAUGGACUCGCGGCUUAUCAGCUUGUUGGUGGGGUAGUGGCUUACCAAGGCUUUGACGGGUAGCCGGCCUGAGAGGGUGACCGGCCACAUUGGGACUGAGAGACGGCCCAGACUCCUACGGGAGGCAGCAGUGGGGAAUAUUGCAAAAUGGGCGGAAGCCUGAUGCAGCAACGCCGCGUGCGGGAUGACGGCCUUCGGGUUGUAAACCGCUUUCGCCUGUGACGAAGCGUGAGUGACGGUAAUGGGUAAAGAAGCACCGGCUAACUACGUG